CAUUUGUCUUCCACACAAAAUCAUACAAAAUGUUCUCUUUAUUAAAUAUACAUUAUUUACAGUUUGUCUUUCUUCUGUACAACAAUAACCAUAGAAAACAAAGAAAUCUAAGGCUAACUUUUAUUUUUUCCCCAUACAGUGUAUUAAGACAUGUUACAUGGUCUACAAAACUGACUUGGAAUGAGGCAACAUCACUUGGGAUUUUAUUUUAGGAACAAAAAUCAGAAGAUAAAAAGGAAAAGGUAGACUCCAGCAUUUCCACAAAAAGAUGACCUGUUUUGUGCUUUUACCAUAAUAAAGAGUCUGACAUAUGUGUAUUUUUGUGGGGAGGGUAUUCUGCAAUUUAUUACUUGUUGAAAUACCCUCCCCACUCUUUCUCAUUCCCUGAAAAGGAGGGCCUGAACAUGCCAUAGGAAGACUUACUUCCCAUCUGAAACAGACACUAGAAAGCCUUUCAAAGAGUCUGUAGAGGAAUGCAUUAUUCCUGUUUCAUAUCCAGCACUUUGUUCACGUUCUCUGAAGAUAUUUCUGGCAUCUGAAGCAUGUAAGACUAUGACACUCGUUAAAAUAAGACCAGGCGUUAAUCACUAACACAAUUAUCUUCACCUUUGGUCUUGGCUUGGGACUAAUCUCCUAAUUUUGUCCUAUUUUAUAAAGGGUUUCCUUGUGUCAACUGGAAGGACUGAGAAAAAAUAGUGUUCCCAGAUGGUGUUAGAUGGUAGGUCCCUGGCGGUACUCGUUGUCAGGGCUGGGACACUACACUCCUUCUUACAGUUAUGUUAUGCUUAUUCAUGUCAGGAUGAAUGGAAGGAAAAGAAAGACACUGGAUGGAUUCCAGAAUCUGAGGACUUCCACUCACAGGGGCUCUGAUUGAUAAUAGACCUAGGGCAGUUUUCUGACAGUUUCAUUUCCUGAAAGUUGCAUCUGGGUGCUUAACCUGGGCAGGUUAGAUAAUUAUAAUAAUAGUUCUAAAGCACUCUGAGAAAAUCCUGAAAAAAAAUUUAAAAAUUGAAAAAAAAGAAUGUGACUGAAGAAGUGUUGGAAGGUAAAAAAAAUCAUGCAAAUGUGAGUAAAGAAUUAUUCAUGCAAAGCCCAUGAUAUUGCCUCUUUCCCUAAUGAGUAAGACAAUGAUCCAAAUGCACUAAAGAGACUCCUGAGUGAGGAGCCAUGAAAGUGGAAAGGCUGCCACCACUGAUUCAUGGUGGAAGCAAUUUCCUUCCUCACCUCAGAUGGCCACCAAUUACUGCCACUGGCCCCUCUUCCUCCUCGUCAAGUUCGCAGCAGGUGUGGUUGAAACCAAAACCAACUUUUGCAUUAACCUUUGUUCAUGUCUGCUCAGCCAUUUUGUAGACUAUAAACAUUACAUAAGACAGACAUCUAGCUUACAAAGUACAAUAUUUCACUAGAAAAUGUGCUUUUCUGUUCUUCCUCAGAGUACCUUAGUGCAAAAUAAGAUAAAAUAAUCACUGAAAAAUAGCAAACCGGUUAAUUAUUAAAACCUUAUAUGAAGGAUUCAAAUAAUUGUCAACAUAAAAGAGGAAUGCUUCUCUCCCUACCAAACAGAUAUGUAUGUAGAAUGUUCAAGAGAAAAGUUGAAUAACAGCCCUAUUUGUACAAAGUGUGCAUGUGAGCGUGCGUGUGUGUGUUGCAUUUUUUCCCCUUUAGGUGGUUCAAAUUUGGAAUUUGUGAAGGCAGAGCUGAUAAUUAGAGACAAUAAAAAUCUGCAGAGUAGAUGGUUCCACAAACAAGACUAUGAAAGAGGGGAUAAAAGAAGAGGUCAAGAAAGACUCAAGAACAGUAUAUAGAAAUAAUUCAAUUACAUUAUGUGUAUUUUAAAGAAAACAUGUUCAAACUGCAUGAGACAGAAAAUAGCACUCAGUUAUCCUCCUAGACUUCUGAAAGUUUUGAGUUUGUCUGCAUCUUCUUCCAUUAAUCGCCUUUGCCAUCUUCAGAAACAAUGAAGUCAGUUUAUUUAUUUAGUCGAUACAUGACCUGUAGGAUAAUUGAGGACUAAGUAUGUCCAAGCCUUUUCAUUAAGGAAGAAUGACUGGCAGAACCAUACAGGUAUCCCAAAGGCCUUUUGGUAGGCUACAGCUGCAAUGAGGUUUUGAUGGAUGGUAGCUAUGGGGAAGCUUAAAGGAAGCUAGGGCAGUUGGUGAACAGUCUGUCAAGACCUUUCCUUUCCUAAGAAAAAAUUCAACAGGUCUCAUCCUCAUCUCCCUGGAUAUCUUGGACUGGAUAAGUUGGCUGUGCUUGCACCCUCCCAGUGCAACUCUUCUAACUGAAUUAACUUCCUGCAGAGAGGGAGCAAGUAUGACCUUCAAGACAGGAAACACUCACUCAGGCUCAGAGGUGAGACCUCACAUAAAUGGACAACAUUUUUUUAGUCAAUUACUGAUGGAAGGGUAGACUUCAGUUAGGUUCAGAAAUGUUAUGUAGAGUCAAAAUGGCUCAUCAGGACUAAGGAGGGUUUUAGGAAGAGCUGGAUGACAACCAAACCACCUUCAGGAACAUCUGGAAGAACAACGGCAUGCAAUAGGUCAUAAACACAUGGCUGUGGAAGAACUGAGAAAAGGGAAGGAGAGGGGCCAAAGUGGACACUCUUAGGUCCAACUCAUGGGAGGCAAGACUUUUGGAAUCCCCCAACCUGACCCGAAACAAGAAUGUAGAGAAUUCAGCCUCCUCAAAUGUAUGGCAGAGACAGAGACCAUCUAUUCUUACUGUUCCUAAAAGUCAAUCCACCCCUUUCUACAGAAAUCUAUAUGCAUUGAUAGAUAUCUACUUUGAGGAGGAGAAACAAAACAGCUUACAGAAGGUGGAAGCAGUAAUUUAAAAAAUAACAGAUAUUUCCCAGAAAUUUACAUUUCUUUCAGUCUGGCAGAUGCUUCACAAAAAUAAUUGUGCGGGACCUUGUGCUGCAUUCUAGGACACUUUAUGUGUGGCCCUGUUGCAACAAUACAUGCCUUGCCAGCUAGACUUUGAGCUCCCCAAGGGCAAAAACAAGGUGUAAUUUAUAUAUGUUCACCCAAUGCCUAGCCCGGCACUCAUUGGCAUUCCAUAAAUACUUCAUGAAUGAAAAAAGAAAAACAAUCUCUUUAUUUUGUUCUAUCCUGCUCUUGCUACCCGUUGGUGGAGAUGAGUCUGACAAAAGGUAGAAGUCAAGUUAAUACCAUCUCUGUUAUUACUAAGGAGAGGAAAAAAGUUGUUUUAAAACAUCACCGCUAGGAUCCUUAAAAUCUUCUGCAUACAGCAGAGGGUAAAUAGAAGAGGCAAAGUUAGUCAUAAAAAUAUGUCUAUAGAAAUGACAAAUGUCUAUUUCUCCAGACAAAUUUUCAUAAAGAUGGCAAUUGAGGCUAUAUAUGCAAUAAAUGAUGCAGUAGGAUAAAUAUAUUUUAGAGUAAGCAAAUAUACUGUUGCUUACAUAAAUAGAUUUGUUUGGUGGAAAAAAAUAUCAAUGAAACAGCUCCAUUAAAAUGUGAAAUUUCACAAGUACUUUUGGCUUUACUGUAAAGUGAUCCAUAUUCCAUAAGAUCUUUUUGUAAACAGCAGUUAUUGAAGGCUGAGGAUUUAAGUGGAAGAGAUCAUGGUGGCCCAGUUGGCCAGAGCAUGUAGUUGGGAAACCUGAAUGUGGUAGGAAAAAGAAAAAAAAAAUGGUUAAAGAGAGAUUAAGAUGCUUUCAAAGUCUCCUUCGAGAUGAUAAUUGCAGAAGGAUUAAAACACUCACACAAUUGAACAAUUACAUAAAACUACAUAGAUCUUGGUACCACUGAGGAAAGACAGUCAGAGUUAGCACGAUUUCUAAUUGUAAAUUACAUUCUACUUUGGAGGGUACGGAUCACUUGCAUUUCAUAUAUAUCUAGUGAAAGUUAGUGUUCUCUGGGGUUAUGAAAUAAUUCAACCCUGUAAAAAUAAUUCUGCUUUAGCCCUGAGACUACUUAUAGGAGUGACGUGUAGACGGCACUGUCCUGGCAUCUACAUUUAGGUCUGUGGUAUGUAGUGUGCAUGGAGUCUACACACGUGAGGAAGAUGCCAGUUGAUUUUGUAGUGCCAUUGUGGUCAGGAUAGAGCUUCACAGAUUCUUCAUCCUACAGGACAAUCUACAAGCAUAUAUACUUAGAUGAGAAAAUCAAAUACUCUGAGUUAGCCUUUGCUAGUCUCCAUUUCUUCUAUUAGCACUAUGUCAGCAAAACAUAGUCCUCACUGCUCAAAGAUUGAAUAAUGAAGAGUUCCAGCUUUAUUACUCAUACCUUCCUUUGCCUUUCUAUUUCAUUAUUGGAGCUGCUUCAGGCUAAACCUACUACACUUCAUGGUGACUUUUAUUUCAGGGGACAAAGGAAUAUAUAGCCAAGCAAAAGGCUGAUUUAUAUAGCCUUUUUAUGGAAAUAGAAAAUUCAAAAAUGAAAAUUGAAGAAAGGGAGGAAAGGGCAGGGGAAAACAGUGUUUAAAGAUCCUUCAUCUUACUAAAGAAUCAUUCAUCUUAUUAAAACUAAAAGGAGAGAAAUGAUAUCAUGGUUAAAAUCACUUUAAAAUAAAUGUACUAGCCAAAAGAUAUCAUGUAGAUGAUAAAGCGAUUGAGCUCAAAUCCACAGAAAAUUUCGAGGAGAGAAUAUGCAUUUGAAACAACAUCUUAAAAUAGAGAAAUAUGAUUGCAAACUAAAUCCUUAACUCAUAAGCUCUGAAACUGAAAGAAAAGCUGUGUUUGAAAUGGAAUGAAGCAACUAAGUUCCUCAUUGUGAGAGGCGAGAGACAGUGUACCCUAAGCACAAGUUGGAAUGUCUGCUAACUGUCAAGGAUGGCAAAUAGAGCUGUGGUCAUUGUUUUCUAAAUUGAAUCUGCCUCAUAAAGAGAAUCAGCAAGUAUUUUCCACACCUAAGAAUCAUUACAUGAGCAUUUCCACUAUCUUGGAGCAUUUACAUUGUCUUCUCCUUACCUUUUUCUCCAAGAUGGCCCAGGACAAAGAAUGAUGCAUAUUGCCACAGAAAAAUCAUUAAGAUCUUUACCGCCACCCCAUGGAUGAGCUCAAGGUGCCUUCUUGAAGGAAUGACUGUUUUCAAUGCUUUGUUACCAAAAGGGACAAAGACCCUGAAAUUUGUCACCACCUCUUUUGGGAGUUUAAGCCUAUAAAAAGAUGUUUGGAAGGGUCUUUAUGUAUAUAGGGUAUAGCAGAUUUGAAAAUGUGGUAUGCUACAGAACCUAAGGGCUCCUCUGAAAUCAAGCAAUGCUAGUUAGCUAGAGGUGACCAUUUCACUUAUGUUAAUGCAUCCUAAACUUCUUGGAGAAUAGCUUGAUGUUAAAAAAUGUGAAACUUGCAAAUUUGAAUUAACUAUCUUCACCAGGUCUUUAGUGAGUGAAUGGAAGGGAAGAAUUCUGUUUGGUAUUUUUCUUCUUUCAUGCAGUUUUUUUUUCAUUUUUUCCUGAUUUAAUUUUUGUUUUAAAGCUGAGUUAAGAUGGUUUAGGCUCUUUCAUUGAACCGGGUACUAUUUUAAACUUUUAUUUCAAUUUCUUUAUGCUGCAGCAACAUAUAUGUGUGCGUGUGUGUAUAUAUAUAUAUGUGUGUGUGUGUGUGUGUGUGUAUAUAUACUC
rnacentral:lncRNA from 1 species